AGAACUAAUAUUCCGAUAGGUGGAAUGAGGGAGUAACGCCCCGAAACGCCUACCUUACAAACUGCGAUAUGCGUCAGCCCUAUGUAACAAGGGCUGUGGUGUAACGCUCGCCAAAGUCGGCGGAAGUAAGUCCAAACAGAAUAGCAAUAUUGCUGUGGAAAGCGUUCCAGAGGUGGAAUGUGCUUAUGAUACGCCGGAGGUCUAUAAA
rnacentral:ncRNA from 1 species